rnacentral:rRNA from 1 species
GAUGAACGCUGGCGGCGUGCUUAACACAUGCAAGUCGAACGAAGCAGAUUGAGAUCUUCGGAGGGAUAUCUGACUGAGUGGCGGACGGGUGAGUAACGCGUGGGUAACCUGCCUCAUACAGGGGGAUAACAGUUAGAAAUGACUGCUAAUACCGCAUAAGCGCACAGUACCGCAUGGUACGGUGUGAAAAACUCCGGUGGUAUGAGAUGGACCCGCGUCUGAUUAGCUAGUUGGUGGGGUAACGGCCUACCAAGGCGACGAUCAGUAGCCGAUCUGAGAGGGUGACCGGCCACAUUGGGACUGAGACACUGCCCAAACUCCUACGGGAGGCAGCAGUGGGGAAUAUUGCACAAUGGGCGAAAGCCUGAUGCAGCGACGCCGCGUGAGUGAAGAAGUAUUUCGGUAUGUAAAGCUCUAUCAGCAGGGAAGAAAAUGACGGUACUUGACUAAGAAGCACCGGCUAAAUACGUGCCAGCCGCCGCGGUAAGAC